UACGGAGGAUCCGAGCGUUAUCCGGAUUUAUUGGGUUUAAAGGGUGCGUAGGCGGACUGGUAAGUCAGUUGUGAAAGUUUACGGCUCAACCGUGAAAUUGCAGUUGAUACUAUUGGUCUUGAGUAUACAUGAGGUCGGCGGAAUUUGUGGUGUAGUGGUGAAAUGCGUAGAUAUCACAAAGAACUCCAAUUGCGAAGGCACCUCACUGGGGUAUAACUGACGCUCAUGCACGAAGGUGUGGGGAUCAAACAGG
rnacentral:rRNA from 1 species